rnacentral:rRNA from 1 species
CACGUAGUUAGCCGUGGCUUAUUCAAGGGGUACCGUCUUCCGCUCUUCCCCCUUAAAAGAAGUUUACAACCCGAAAGCCUUCUUCCUUCACGCGGCGUUGCUGGGUCAGACUUGCGUCCAUUGCCCAAUAUUCCCCACUGCUGCCUCCCGUAGGAGUCUGGGCUGUAUCUCAGUCCCAAUGUGGCCGGCCAACCUCUCAGUCCGGCUACUGAUCGUCGCCUUGGGUGGGCCGUUACCUCACCAACUAGCUAAUCAGACGCGAGGCCAUCUUCCAGCGAUAAAUCUUUGACGUCAGAGUCAUGCGGCUCCAACGCAUCAUGCGGUAUUAGCAGUCGUUUCCAACUGUUCGUCCCCCUCUGGAGGGCAGGUUCCUCACGCGUACUCACCAGUCCGCCACUAAGCAUUCCCAUCCGUUCGUCCGAAAACUCCUUCGAGGGUGCUCCGUUCGACUUGCAUGUGUUAAGCACGCCGCCAGCGUCGUCGUCGUAGUCCACGGACGUACGUAACUACUAC